AUUGAACGCUGGCGGCAGGCCUAACACAUGCAAGUCGAAUGGUAACAGGAAACAGCUUGCUGUUUCGCUGACGAGUGGCGGACGGGUGAGUAAUGUCUGGGAAACUGCCUGAUGGAGGGGGAUAACUACUGGAAACGGUAGCUAAUACCGCAUAACGUCGCAAGACCAAAGAGGGGGGACCUUCGGGCCUCUUGCCAUCAGAUGUGCCAGAUGGGAUUAGCUAGUAGGUGGGGUAACGGCUCACCUAGGCGACGAUCCCUAGCUGGUCUGAGAGGAUGACCAGCCACACUGGAACUGAGACACGGUCCAGACUCCUACGGGAGGCAGCAGUGGGAAUAUUGCACAAUGGGCGCAAGCCUGAUGCAGCCAUGCCGCGUGUAUGAAGAAGGCCUCGGUUGU
rnacentral:rRNA from 1 species